rnacentral:rRNA from 1 species
UACGUAGGGACCAAGCGUUGUUCGGGUUUACUGGGCGUAAAGGGCGCGUAGGCGGCUAAUUAAGUCAUCUGUGAAAUCUCCGAGCUUAACUCGGAACGGUCAGGUGAUACUGAUCUGCUAGAGUGCGGAAGGGGCAAUCGGAAUUCUUGGUGUAGCGGUGAAAUGCGUAGAUAUCAAGAGGAACACCUGAGGUGAAGACGGGUUGCUGGGCCGACACUGACGCUGAGGAGCGAAAGCAUGGGGAGCAAACAGG